GGCAGCCACGGAGCUUGCUCUGGUGGCGAGUGGCGAACGGGUGAGUAAUAUAUCGGAACGUACCCUGGAGUGGGGGAUAACGUAGCGAAAGUUACGCUAAUACCGCAUACGAUCUACGGAUGAAAGUGGGGGAUCGCAAGACCUCAUGCUCGUGGAGCGGCCGAUAUCUGAUUAGCUAGUUGGUAGGGUAAAAGCCUACCAAGGCAUCGAUCAGUAGCUGGUCUGAGAGGACGACCAGCCACACUGGAGCUGAGACACGGUCCAGACUCCUACGGGAGGCAGCAGUGGGGAAUUUUGGACAAUGGGCGAAAGCCUGAUCCAGCAAUGCCGCGUGAGUGAAGAAGGCCUUCGGGUUGUAAAGCUCUUUUGUCAG
rnacentral:rRNA from 1 species